UCACACGCUGUAUGUAAAUGAAGCUUAAGUAGUCAGUUGGGCGUGCGGCUGCUGAAGUAGCCAUGGCUCCUCAGGCUGUAAUCACACACCUAUUUAGGCUCCAUUAACACCUAUCUAGGUUUGAGCAACUGAGUCGGGGCCUGAUGUCAUUGCUCAUAGCUAGGCUGUCCAUCAUAUUUGGAAAGGUGUGAUUAGAGCCCAGGGUGCCAUAACUAAUUCAGCAAGCUGCAUGUCUGGUGACUACAUUUAUCAUUGUAGGUAUGUGCCAGCAGACAUCCAGGCAUGAUAUAGCAAAGUGAAUAAAAUGCUGGUCUCCUGCUACAUAUACAGAAGACUACGCUACACCUAUCAUAAGAGUCAAAGAUAAAUAGCCCCCUAUGUAUGGGUGACAAAUCCCACGCAAGGAUCAGCUGGUGCAAUGUUAGAAUCAAAUUGGGUCAGAGUUUGUGAGCUUGAAGAGCGUUCGCUAAAUGUCUCCCACUGCUGAACAGACAGAGGAGACACAAGUCAGCAUGAUAAGAGGAGAGGAAGAGAUCUGAGCAGAAACAAACCCUCAUUCAUGGCUUACACUGCAAGUUCUGUGCCAACCGUACAGGUACUGUGGGAUUACUACAUACAAAUCAGACCUCAUUUCCCACAUAUCUAUAAUGGGAUUUGUGUUUUGGUAUUGGCAAGAGAGACCAGUCAGUGUAAUCCAUUUCUCUGCAAGGAUUAAACUGAUCAAUAUCAUAUAGAUUAAUAAGACAGGUUAACAAGAACUGUGCAAUAAAAUGAGGACAAGUAGAACAAUAUGUGAAUUGGGCUUUCUUCCACACACACUAGUAUAGAAGAAGAGCUGAAAGACUGGCCUCCAGCCAGGACAGGGGUUAUGUAUCAUGCAAUACAUAGGAUGAUAUGAUCAUAGCAUUUACAAAGCAAACCAAGCACAUCUACAAAAAUAAUGAAACAUGCUUGAUGGAAAAAGAAUGCUUUUAUAUGUGUGAUGGUGAGCCUGCUUCUAGGUGAGGUGACACUUUACUGCACAAUGAGGUGUGUAAUGGACUCAAUAGUUACAUUAUAUCUUAACAUUGUGCAGUCUAAGACAAGGGAGUGAAUGUAGAUAAAAACUGAUUGACAGUAGAAAGAAAGGUGUAUGAGAAGAGUGACAUAGGAUACAUAUUUCAUUAUUUUACUGAAUAAGUGGGAAGCAUGCACAAUCACCCAGUACAGAGUCAUAAGGAGUACAGAGCAUUAGCACACCCGGGGACAACAGUAACCACAAUUACACAUAUAUCGUUUUCAAUAAAUAGCACACUGGUUGUUUUGUCAGAUCUGGGGAUUUAAAAUAAUCAUGUCAUUUUAAAUAAACCAAACACUUUCACAAACUAUUUAUUAAAAAAGAAAAAAUUGUUGAUAUACACUGACCAGCCAGAGGUUUCAAGCCACGUUCCCAUAUUGUGCAGGGUCCCACUGUGCCACCAUUCCACUGUGACUCAGAAGGACUCUAUAAGACCACUGUCCUGUGGUAUCUGGCACAAUCACAGCAAGUCUUUAAAGGGGUACUACGCUUCUCAGCGUUUGGAUCGAACACUGAGCAGCAGAGUACCCCUUUAAGUCCUGUAAGCUGUGAAGUGGGAUCUACAUUGACCUCACUUGAUUUUUUCAGCACAUUCCACUAAUGCUUGGAUUAAGAUCUGGUUUGGAGAACAAGUCAACACCUUGAGUCUCCUGUUCCUGAGCAAGUGGCCUGCCGAAAGAGACCGCUACUAUGGCAUAGCAGUGCAAUAAAAGAGUGUACUUUGGUCUGCAACAAGGUUAAGGCAGGUGUCAAAGCAACAUCCAGACUAAGGCCAUGUUCAUGCGACGGAAUUUCCGAGCAGAAUUCUGCUCGGAAAUUCAGUUGCAGCAGAAUCCCAUUGCUUUCAAUGGGAUUGUGCUGCACCAUGCACACAGCAGAAUUUCUGCAGUGGAAGCCCCAAUUCGUCCCUUUGCUGAAAUAAUUGACAUGUCAAUCUUCUGGCGGAAUUCACUCGGAAAUGCAUUGCCAUCCAUGGAGAUGGCACAUUACAGACUGGUCCUAGAGCUGGCAUAUUCUGUCAGAGCCUGCUAUUUGCGGAAUGUCUGCCCGUGUUUUCCACUGUGCGAACAUAGCCAAAUGCUGAAACCUAAGGUUUCCCAGCAGAAUAUUACCCAGAGCAUACACUGCCUCUAUGUGCUUGCCUUUUUCCUAUGGUGCAACAUCUACACUUGUCCACAUGAUCCAGACUGGCUUCUUUUUAUUCUCCACAGUCAAAUUCUGAUUUUUAUUUGUGCAUUUGUAGGUACUCCGCAUGAGUACCCUGACCAUUCUGCAACUAUACAGCAAACUGAUAUAUUAUGUCUUCUGACACCAGUCGUCUAGAUAAUAGAGUUUGGCCUUAGUCAAAGUUGCUCAGAUCCGCACACUUGCUCAAUGUUACUGCUUCCAACACAUCAACUGAAAGAGCCAACAGUUCUUUUGAUGCCCAGAAAGCAUGCAAAGCAAUGAUACUCACUUCCAAAGUCAGUGGUUUUACUGUUCUGGCUGGUCAGUGUAUAUUUUCCCCAUCACAGGGCUAUCCAAUGGUGGCUCCACAGUUAAAUCCCACAAAAAAGUACUCAUUUUUUUUAUUUAAAACUCUAUUUUUCAACUUUCCUCUAACUGUUCCAUGUGCCUAAUUUCUCAGAGGAUAACUCCUGAUCAAUUUUCAGUAUAUUAGCUACAUGAUCUACCUAGGCUCUUCUGAAAUUAAGGCAAAUGCACAUAUGGUCAAUUCACUAUCUGUGCCUUACAAUGUACAUCCAUAGAAGAGGGGAACCCUGGGUGCUUUACCAUUGUUUAACAGAUUUUUCGGUCAUCAUUGGUUAUAUACGGUAUUUCAUCAUUUAAAUAAAUGUCAUGCAUUUUAGUUUCAUUUAGUGUCAUUUAUUAAAUAGUACAUUCCCCACAAGGUAAUAAAGACCUCUAGGGAACAUCCAUGCUUUAUAAUUAGGUUAUUUCUGUUUUCCACUGUAAUGCUUUAUGGCACCUGUAAGUUGUGCACUGACAAAAUGUCCCAGAUUGAUUCUUUUGAUUUUAAAAAGACAUUUGAAAACUGAAAGAAGCCAUCUGACUGGCUGCUAUGGGCAACUGCACUAUAUGUUAUGAUCCAUCUCUUCCCAAUAGUGUUGCUAUCCUGACUUCUACAUGCCCCUGACAGUACAGAGUGGUCACUACUUAUGACAGUGGGAGGACGACUCUCCAAACCUGUACAGCAAUUCUGAGAAAGGAGUGUUUGGAAAUUUGUAAAAACAAAACCUGCCCAAUUUAACAGCUACCAUAAUGCUGAAAUAAUUGUUCAAAUAAAAAGCAGUUACUCUGAUAUUGCAAUGAAAAACAAUCCCAUAAUCAUCGGACACUUAUCAGAGCCCACUUUUCUGGUGGGAUAUGGUACAAUUUCCUGCAGAAUCUGUUCACUUAAGCUUCGAUUGAUAAGUCACUGUACAUUCUGGAAUGUGUGUA